rnacentral:rRNA from 1 species
UACCAGCACCCCGAGUGGUCGGGGCGAUUAUUGGGCCUAAAGCAUUCGUAGCCGGUUCUACAAGUCUUCCGUUAAAUCCACCUGCUUAACAGAUGGGCUGCGGAGGAUACUAUGGAGCUAGGAGGCGGGAGAGGCAAGCGGUACUUAGUGGGUAGGGGUAAAAUCCGUUGAUCCAUUGAAGACCACCAGUGGCGAAGGCGGCUUGCCAGAACGCACUCGACGGUGAGGGAUGAAAGCUGGGGGAGCAAACCGG